CAGCCGCCGCGGGAAUACGAAGGGGGCUAGCGUUGCUCGGAAUCACUGGGCGUAAAGGGUGCGUAGGCGGGUCUUUAAGUCAGGGGUGAAAUCCUGGAGCUCAACUCCAGAACUGCCUUUGAUACUGAAGAUCUUGAGUUCGGGAGAGGUGAGUGGAACUGCGAGUGUAGAGGUGAAAUUCGUAGAUAUUCGCAAGAACACCAGUGGCGAAGGCGGCUCACUGGCCCGAUACUGACGCUGAGGCACGAAAGCGUGGAGAGCAAACAGGAUUAGAUACCCGCGUAGUCCCUGUCUCUUAUAA
rnacentral:rRNA from 1 species